ensembl:snoRNA
GGUCAAUGAUGACACGGCAUGUAUUCUGAAUCUAAAGUUGAUUAAUUUACUUCAGCUCUAGAAUUACUCUGAGACCUA